rnacentral:rRNA from 1 species
UUUCGCAAUGCCCGAAAGGGUGACGAAGCGACGUCGCGUGUGGGAAGAAGGCCUUCGGGUUGUAAACCACUGUCGGGAGUUAAGAAAGGUGUACGGGUAAAUAGUCCGUGCAUUUGACAAAAGCUCCGGAGGAAGCCACGGCUAACUCUGUGCCAGCAGCCGCGGUAAUACAGAGGUGGCAAGCGUUGUUCGGAAUUAUUGGGCGUAAAGAGCACGUAGGCGGCCCUGCAAGUCAGCUGUGAAAGCCUCCUGCUUAACGGGAGAAGUGCAGUUGAAACUACGGGGCUAGAGUGCGGAAGGGGAGAGUGGAACUUCUGGUGGAGCGGUGAAAUGCGUAGAUAUCAGAAGGAACACCGGCGGCGAAAGCGGCUCUCUGGUCCGUAACUGACGCUGAGGUGCGAAAGCCAGGGGAGCAAACGGGAUUAGAUACCCCGGUAGUCCUGGCCGUAAACGAUGGGCACUAAGUAGAGGGGUUUU